rnacentral:rRNA from 1 species
UAAUUCUCUAGUGGCGCACGGGUGAGUAACACGUGAGUAACCUGCCCCCGAGAGCGGGAUAGCCCUGGGAAACUGGGAUUAAUACCGCAUAGUAUCGAAAGAUUAAAGCAGCAAUGCGCUUGGGGAUGGGCUCGCGGCCUAUUAGUUAGUUGGUGAGGUAACGGCUCACCAAGGCGAUGACGGGUAGCCGGUCUGAGAGGAUGUCCGGCCACACUGGAACUGAGACACGGUCCAGACACCUACGGGUGGCAGCAGUCGAGAAUCAUUCACAAUGGGGGAAACCCUGAUGGUGCGACGCCGCGUGGGGGAAUGAAGGUCUUCGGAUUGUAAACCCCUGUCAUGUGGGAGCAAAUUAAAAAGAUAGUACCACAAGAGGAAGAGACGGCUAACUCUGUGCCAGCAGCCGCGGUAAUACAGAGGUCUCAAGCGUUGUUCGGAAUCACUGGGCGUAAAGCGUGCGUAGGCUGUUUCGUAAGUCGUGUGUGAAAGGCGCGGGCUCAACCCGCGGACGGCACAUGAUACUGCGAGACUAGAGUAAUGGAGGGGGAACCGGAAUUCUCGGUGUAGCAGUGAAAUGCGUAGAUAUCGAGAGGAACACUCGUGGCGAAGGCGGGUUCCUGGACAUUAACUGACGCUGAGGCACGAAGGCCAGGGGAGCGAAAGGGAUUAGAUACCCCUGUAGUCCUGGCAGUAAACGGUGCACGCUUGGUGUGCGGGGAAUCGACCCCCUGCGUGCCGGAGCUAACGCGUUAAGCGUGCCGCCUGGGGAGUACGGUCGCAAGAUUAAAACUCAAAGAAAUUGACGGGGACCCGCACAAGCGGUGGAGUAUGUGGCUUAAUUCGAUGCAACGCGAAGAACCUUACCUGGGCUUGACAUGUAAUGAACAACAUGUGAAAGCAUGCGACUCUUCGGAGGCGUUACACAGGUGCUGCAUGGCCGUCGUCAGCUCGUGUCGUGAGAUGUUUGGUUAAGUCCAGCAACGAGCGCAACCCCUGUUGCCAGUUACCAGCACGUGAAGGUGGGGACUCUGGCGAGACUGCCCAGAUCAACUGGGAGGAAGGUGGGGACGACGUCAGGUCAGUAUGGCCCUUAUGCCCAGGGCUGCACACGUACUACAAUGCCCAGUACAGAGGGGGCCGAAGCCGCGAGGCGGAGGAAAUCCUAAAAACUGGGCCCAGUUCGGACUGUAGGCUGCAACCCGCCUACACGAAGCCGGAAUCGCUAGUAAUGGCGCAUCAGCUACGGCGCCGUGAAUACGUUCCCGGGUCUUGUACACACCGCCCGUCACAU